AGUUGUUUAGUUAAAAAAUAAUAAUUCACUUACACUGAAGGGUUCUAUAAACGAGAACAAAAC
rnacentral:tRNA from 1 species